rnacentral:rRNA from 1 species
AUUGAACGCUGGCGGCAUGCCUUACACAUGCAAGUCGAACGGCAGCACGGGAGCAAUCCUGGUGGCGAGUGGCAAACGGGUGAGUAAUAUAUCGGAACGUGCCCAGUCGUGGGGGAUCACGCAGCGAAAGCUGUGCUAAUACCGCAUACGAUCUACGGAUGAAAGCGGGGGAUCGCAAGACCUCGCGCGAUCGGAGCGGCCGAUAUCAGAUUAGCUAGUUGGUGGGGUAAAGGCCCACCAAGGCGACGAUCUGUAGCUGGUCUGAGAGGACGACCAGCCACACUGGAACUGAGACACGGUCCAGACUCCUACGGGAGGCAGCAGUGGGGAAUUUUGGACAAUGGGCGCAAGCCUGAUCCAGCAAUGCCGCGUGCAGGAUGAAGGCCUUCGGGUUGUAAACUGCUUUUGUACGGAACGAAACGGCCCUUUCUAAUACAGGGGGCUAAUGACGGUACCGUAAGAAUAAGCACCGGCUAACUACGUGCCAGCCGCCGCCGUAA